GGUCUCCAGUACUGCGUACAAUACUCCAAGUGAGGUCUCACCAGUGUUCUGUACAAUGGCAUGAGCACUUCCCUCUUUCUACUGCUAAUACCUCUCCCUAUACAACCAAGCAUUCUGCUAGCAAAUAUACCCCAAAUAAAAACAUGCAUGUAUUUGAUUAUGCAUUUUUUUUUACUAGGGGUGUAUCUAAAAACAGCUUGCAAAAGCUGCAGUUCUCUUGUCUGCAGCUUUUGCAAGCCCUCCU